rnacentral:lncRNA from 1 species
UUCCUCUCAACUUUUCUUUAUCCCCUAAUACUUCGCCGACGCAUUUUCGGCAACCUUCUCCCUCUUUCUUUUCGUGACAAUUAAGAAUUGGCACAAGCAGCCAAAGUGAGAAUUCGAGAACUGACAUUGGUAGUCAGUAUUGUGGGAUUUCGAGAACUGACACUGGUUGUCAGUAUUGUGGAAAGAGAAUUGGCACGUGUAGCCAUAUUGUGGGUAAUUUCGAGAAUUGGCACAGGUAGCCAUAUUGUCGUGAGUGUAUUCGAG